CGGGUAGAGUAACACGUGGAUAAUCUGCCCUGCACAGGGGGACAACAGCUAGAAAUGGCUGCUAAUACCGCAUAAGCCUACAGCCUCGCAUGAGGGAGUAGGAAAGAAAUUCGGUGCAGGAUGAGUCCGCGUCUGAUUAGCUAGUUGGAGGGGUAAAAGCCCACCAAGGCAACGAUCAGUAGCCGGCCUGAGAGGGCGACCGGCCACAUUGGGACUGAGACACGGCCCAAACUCCUACGGAAGGCAGCAG
rnacentral:rRNA from 1 species